rnacentral:rRNA from 1 species
UACAGAGGUCCCAAGCGUUGUUCGGAUUCAUUGGGCGUAAAGGGUGCGUAGGCGGCGCGGUAAGUCAGGGGUGAAAUCCUGGAGCUCAACUCCAGAACUGCCUUUGAUACUGAGAAGCUUGAGUCCGGGAGAGGUGAGUGGAACUGCGAGUGUAGAGGUGAAAUUCGUAGAUAUUCGCAAGAACACCAGUGGCGAAGGCGGCUCACUGGCCCGGUACUGACGCUGAGGUGCGAAAGCGUGGGGAGCAAACAGG